rnacentral:lncRNA from 1 species
AUUUGCUAUAAAAUUACAAUUAAAUAUAACUAAUAUUUUUGGAUAUAUAAUUUUUAUUUCCGGUUUUCGGAUAUCCUUUCGGUUUUCGGUUCGGAUCGGGUUCGGUUCGGGUAAUUCGGAUAGGAGAAUUCAUUAUCCGUUCGGAUUUUGUGACUAUUCGGUUCAGAUUCGGUUCCGGAUUUUUCGGAUCGGUUUCGGAUCGGUUUUCGGAUUUCGGGUUUUAUGCCCAGGCCUAAU